CACCCCCUGUGGCAUCAGCUUGGUGGUCUUUAAGAGAGGUGCUCACUUCCCUGCCUGUCACAUUUAUUCCGAACCCCAGGGUAACUCAGUGCCACUGGCAUGAUGCGGUUCCCGGGGGUACUUCUCGUUUUCCUGGCUCCUGUCACUCAGGUAUCUUCCAACGUGGAAGGGGAUAAGAUGUCAGUCACUAGGGCAACUGGGUCAUCUCUUGUAAUCACUUGCGAUCUCACACAAAACACCAACUAUAUCCACUGGUACAGAUUCCGGGAGGGGACAGUACCCCAACGCCUUCUCUACUAUGACGUCUCCUCCUCAAAGGUUACGUUGGAAUCAGGAAUCAGUCCAGGAAGAUAUCAUGCUUAUCAAAGUGCAGGGAAGAGCUACCAAUUUGUAAUCUCAAAUCUGGAAGAAAGUGAUUCUGGCACGUACUACUGCGCUGUCUGGGAGAAGCACUGUGAUAACUGGAAGAAGAUAUUUGGAAAGGCACUGGAGCUCAUAGUAGCUCCCUAUGAUAUAAACCUUGCUUCAGACAUUUCCCCCAAGCCCACAGUGUUUCUUCCUUCGAUUGCUGAGAUAAAGCUCCAUAAUGCUGGAACAUACCUUUGUCUUCUGGAGAAUUUUUUUCCUAAUGUUAUUAAGGUUUAUUGGAAAGAAAAGAAUGGCAACAAAGUGCUGGAAUCCCAGCAGGGAAAUACCAUGAGGACGACUAACACAUACAUGAAAUUCAGCUGGUUGACUGUGAGCAAAACAGCCAUGGAUAAAGAACACAAGUGUGUCGUCAAACACGAGAAAAAUAGAGGGGGAGUUGAUCAAGAGAUUAUUUUUCCUUCAGUGAAUGAAGUUGUCUCCUCAGCUGUCAUGCCUACUGAUUCUCCAAAUGAUUGCUUGAAGGAUGAAAGUAAAGUCUCUGAUAGUGAUUCUAGAAAGGCCUGUGUAAGAAAUGAAAGUGAAGUCACUAAUUCUACAAAAGCUUGUCUGAAAGAUGAAAGCAAUACCCUGCAGCUGCAGCUCGAGAACACCUCUGCCUACUACACCUACCUCCUCCUCCUCCUCAAGAGUUCCCUCUACUUCGCCACCACCAUCUCCUGUCUGUUUAGGAGAACAGUCUGCAGCAGUGGGAAGACCUCCUGACAGAUGGUGCCACCAAGGGCUCAACUUCGCUUCAGCAUCAUUGUCUCUACAAGUGUCUGCUGAGGAUCUAGCUGGGCUUCCUUUCUGGGUUUGGCUUCUUUCAGAGAAUGUGUACAUCUUUCUGUAAGGUCAACAUUGUGUAGGUUUUUUCAAACCACUGGGCAAACAGACCCUUGCACUGCAUAACAAGGAAUUCUGCCAUGACUCAGGGCAGGGCUGAGGGCUGGUCCACAGGAGCCUUUCCCACCACUGUCCCUCAGUGUCAGCAGCUCCUCCGGCUGCCUGAGUCCUCUUGCCUCGUGAGCACACACAGCACAGCACACAGCUCCCUGUCUCCUCCCUCAGGGCUCCACCCAGACCACAGCCCUGACCUUCCCUGUACACAUCUGGAGCCCCCAGCUUUGCUGCUUCAAUUCUGUUCUCUGGUUUUCAUAAUAGGCACAAUCAAUUAAAAAGAUAUCCAAACUCUA